AACGAACGCUGGCGGCAUGCCUAACACAUGCAAGUCGAACGAGACCUUCGGGUCUAGUGGCGCACGGGUGCGUAACGCGUGGGAACCUGCCCUUAGGUUCGGAAUAACUCCCCGAAAGGGGUGCUAAUACCGGAUAAUGUCUUCGGACCAAAGAUUUAUCGCCUUUGGAUGGGCCCGCGUUGGAUUAGCUAGUUGGUAGGGUAAAAGCCUACCAAGGCGACGAUCCAUAGCUGGUCUGAGAGGAUGAUCAGCCACACUGGGACUGAGACACGGCCCAGACCCCUAGGGGGGGCAGGAGGGGGGAAUAUUGGAAAAGGGGCGAAAGCCUGAUCCAGCAAGGCCGGGGGGGGAAAGAAGGCCUUGGGGUUGUAAAGCCUUUUUACCCGGGAGGAUAAUGACAGUACCGGGAGAAAAAGCCCCGGUUAACUCCGU
rnacentral:rRNA from 1 species